AGUCCCUGGGGACCACCAGGCACAUACUGUUACUUAAACAGAACAUUAGCUAAACAAGACAGAGCUGAAAAAAAAUGAAGAAGUCUCCAUGACGUGCGGCGUGACUCCUUCCUGGGGCUCACCUCACUCGGUUAAACACAGCCAAGCCAAGAAGGCCCAUAAAGUUGGAGGCCCAAUGACAUCCGGGCUUCGGUGACACUGGAUGCUAAGGUGCAGAGAAGGUUGGGUGAGCUUAGGAGCCAGGACUCUGAAAUUCAGCAGGCAUGGAUUCAGCUCUCCUUCCCCCACUGGGAAGAGCAGGAAGCCUGGUACCUGGAAGAGUGGAAGCCACGGAAGCUUGGAUGGACAGAGACACUGUGAAGAGGGAAGAGCCAUCUCUUGACUCCCCUCCCCAACACCAACCCAGCCAUGGCCAGCUCCUCAGGGCCAUCUAUGAGGAUGAGCAAGAGAACUGAGUUUAACCAUCCCUUCAUAUGUCUCUGCCCCCACCUCUCAGAGGACAAGCCUGGCAUUUAUAGAGCUAAUGUGGGGUUUCAUGUGGGACACAACAUGGAUCUGCCUUUCAGAAAACAGGAAACUCCGUGGAGAAAAAGAUCUGGUAUAGUCUCCUGACCUGGAUAUAUUGAGCCUGCUCACAGCAAGCCAUUCCCAGAGCAUCUACCUGUGGUAAUCCCUCUAUAAAUGUAGUCAACAAGGAGUGAAGAAAGAUGUUCAGACUCCUCGACCACACAACGCAACUCCCAAGCUUCACCAUGCAUCAGAGUAGACACUCAAACAACAGACUGGGCUACAUCGACCUAAGAAAAUUCCUGGUUCUGGAAAAACACCCUCUACAUUCUUGCUCUUUUAACAGUGGACCUGAACCUAGCUAAGCACAGCAGGUAUGCAAAUGGGCUCAAUUCACACUUGGAUUGUCUGAAGUUGAUGCUAAGGAACUAUCUGUUAAGUCUUAGGACAAGGUGCAAACAAAGCCUUGCCUUGGGACAUAGAACCGAGUGGUCACAUCCCUUCCCGUCCUUAUAGUUUGAGUGUGCACUGCUCCACUGUUGAGAUGCUCUGUGGAAAGGGUCUCCCA